AGAGUUUGAUCAUGGCUCAGAACGAGCGCUGGCGGCGCGUUUUAAGCAUGCAAGUCGAACGGCAGGACUGGUAGCAAUACUGGUCUGAGAGUGGCGAACGGGUGAGUAAGACGUAGGUGAUCUACCCCUGGAUGGGGGAUAGUCCGUGGAAACACGGGGUAAUACCGCAUGAGGCCUUGGGGGUAAAGUCCUGAGGUGAAAGCUCCAAUUGGAGCGUCUGGGGAUGAGCCUGCGGCCCAUUAGGCAGUUGGCGGGGUAAUGGCCCACCAAACCGACGAUGGGUAGCCGGCCUGAGAGGGUGUACGGCCACACUGGAACUGAGACACGGUCCAGACUCCUACGGGAGGCAGCAGCUAAGAAUCUUCCGCAAUGGGGGAAACCCUGACGGAGCGACGCCGCGUGGACGAUGAAGGCCGCAAGGUUGUAAAGUCCUUUUGCAGGUGAAGAAUAAGCCGGGGAGUGGAAAGCCCUGGUGAUGACGUUAGCCUGCGAAUAAGCCCCGGCCAAUUACGUGCCAGCAGCCGCGGUAAUACGUAUGGGGCGAGCGUUGUUCGGAGUUAUUGGGCGUAAAGGGCGUGUAGGCGGCCCGAGAAGUCUGGUGUGAAAUCGCAGGGCUCAACCCUGCGGGUGCGCUGGAAACUGACGGGCUGGAGUCCCGGGGGGGAAGCUGGAAUUCCUGGUGUAGGAGUGAAAUCUGUAGAGAUCAGGAAGAACACCGGUGGCGAAGGCGAGCUUCUAUUCGAGGACUGACGCUGAGGCGCGAAAGCGUGGGGGAGCAAACAGGAUUAGAUACCCUGGUAGUCCACGCUGUAAACGAUGUGCACUAGGCGUGGGGCACGUCGGUGCUCUGUGCCGAAGUUAACGCGAUAAGUGCACCGCCUGGGGAGUAUGCUCGCAAGGGUGAAACUCAAAGGAAUUG
rnacentral:rRNA from 1 species